GCUCCUUGUUCUCUCUCUCUGCUUUCUUCACGUGGAUGAAAAUGGGAUGAGUCAGCUUCCUGCUCCUGCCUCUGUGACAUAUUUUUCCUGCCAUGAAGAGUGGGCAUUCUCCUGUAGAACUAUAAGCCCAAAUCAACACUGUCUUCUAUACACUUCCUUUGGUCAGGGUAUUUUGUCACAGCAACAGGAAGGUGACUAAUGCUCUUUGUUUAAUUCAUCAUUGUUCCACUGCCUGUCAUCACUGCAUCUGCAGCCUUGGGCUGGCAUGGCUGCUGAACCUCUGGAAAAAACUGUCCACUCAGAAGAUAGAGUCCAUAUCCAAUGUUGCUUGAGUGACCAAGAACCUGAGAUCAGAAAGCACAGUGACCUAGGAACCCUCAUCCAGUGGCUGAUGGAAGCAGAGGCAGACACCCACAGAU